UGGGCCCGUGCAGCAGCUCAGGGGUAUGAGUACUCUGGAGGGAGCCCUCCCGAACUAUCUAGAGGAGGAGAUGGGGAGCACUGCUAACAUGGCAGCUACAGCCUUGUGAUUGGUCCAAGUACAGGCCUGUGAUUGGUGCAGGUCUCCAGGACAGCCUCUGUUGUCAUGCUGGGGAUCCAGUGAGGGGCAGGUCUGGAAUGAAGGAAUCUUCUGGAAGGCUAGGUGUGGGCCCAGAUCCCUCCCUCCCUUCAAAAAGGCAACAGUGGCACCUGAAGACUGAAGUCAGGGAGGGACCUAAGUGGAGUACAGGAGGGUGGCUGUGAGAAAACCAGGGCGACUCUGAGGUCCUUGAAGGAUGCAAGUUGUCUUGGCUCUGGCGGCUCCUGGACAUGUGACCUUGGGCUGAUUUCUGAAGCCUCAGCCUCCUCAUCACCGGUAGGGAGUAGCGGGCUUUCUACCUUACCAGUGCACACUGCACACUGCACUUCCUCACCGGGGCCUUCUCAGGUUCCAGAUGCACACAUCGCUUGCUCUUGCAGGAUAGCAGUGCCAGACAUUAGUGCCGCCCCAAGCAGCCAGUGCCUGGGAAGCUGGGUGAGUUCUGAGAUGUGUAUUCUGUACCAUUUCCCAGAAUCUCCCCUGCAGCACCCGCUCCAGCCUCCUGCAGGGCUAACCUGCCUGGGGAUGUCCGUCCUGUGUUUCCACUGGCACCUGCCCACUGCCUGA
rnacentral:lncRNA from 1 species